rnacentral:rRNA from 1 species
AAAGGAACGCUAAUACCGCAUACGUCCUACGGGAGAAAGUGGGGGAUCUUCGGACCUCACGCUAUCAGAUGAGCCUAGGUCGGAUUAGCUAGUAGGUGGGGUAAUGGCUCACCUAGGCGACGAUCCGUAACUGGUCUGAGAGGAUGAUCAGUCACACUGGAACUGAGACACGGUCCAGACUCCUACGGGAGGCAGCAGUGGGGAAUAUUGGACAAUGGGCGAAAGCCUGAUCCAGCCAUGCCGCGUGUGUGAAGAAGGUCUUCGGAUUGUAAAGCACUUUAAGUUGGGAGGAAGGGUUGUAACCUAAUACGUUGCAAUUUUGACGUUACCGACAGAAUAA